CGAUCAUGGCUCAGAUUGAACGCUGGCGGAAUGCUUUACACAUGCAAGUCGAACGGUAGAGGGGGCAACCCCUCGAGAGUGGCGAACGGGUGAGUAAUAUAUCGGAACGUGCCCAGUCGUGGGGGAUAACGUAGCGAAAGUUACGCUAAUACCGCAUACGAUCUAUGGAUGAAAGCGGGGGAUCGCAAGACCUCGUGCGAUUGGAGCGGCCGAUGUCAGAUUAGCUAGUUGGUGGGGUAAAGGCCCACCAAGGCGACGAUCUGUAGCUGGUCUGAGAGGACGACCAGCCACACUGGGACUGGGACACGGCCCAGACUCCUACGGGAGGCAGCAGUGGGGAAUUUUGGACAAUGGGCGCAAGCCUGAUCCAGCAAUGCCGCGUGCAGGAAGAAGGCCUUCGGGUUGUAAACUGCUUUUGUACGGAACGAAAAGGUCUGGGUUAAUACCCUGGGCUCAUGACGGUACCGUAAGAAUAAGCACCGGCUAACUACGUG
rnacentral:rRNA from 1 species